rnacentral:rRNA from 1 species
GAUCCUGCCAGUAGUCAUAUGCUCGUCUCAAAGAUUAAGCCAUGCACGUCUAAGUAUGAGCCUUUACACGGCGAGACUGCGGACGGCUCAUUAAAUCGGUCAUGAUCCGCUCGGCCGCGACCUCGCUCGGACAACCGUAGCAAUCCUAGAGCUAAUACGUGCGAAAGGGCCCCCCCGCGAGGGGGGGCCCGCGUUCGUCAGGCGAAGGACCGACGCGGGCCGCGAGGCCCGACGGACGGCGAAUCGGGACGACCCCGCGGAUCGCACGGCCCCGCGCCGGCGACGCCCCGUCCGAAUUUCCGCCCUAUCAACUCCCGACGGCGGGAUAGAGGCCCGCCGUGGUGCUCACGGGUGACGGAGAAUCGGGGUUCGAUUCCGGAGAGGGAGCCUGAGAGACGGCUACCACUUCUACGGAAGGCAGCAGGCGCGUAAAUUACCCAAUCCCGACCCGGGGAGGUAGUGACGAUAGAUAACGGCGCGAGGCCCGCGGGUCUCGCGGCCGGAACGAGGACGACCCAAACCCGCUACCGAGCAACGAUCGGAGGGCAAGUCUGGUGCCAGCAGCCGCGGUAAUUCCAGCUCCGAUAGCGUAUAUUAAAGUUGCUGCGGUUGAAGAGCUCGUAGUCGGACCUCUGCGGGCCGCGCGGGUCCCGGCCCGCCCCGAGCGGGCGCGCGCCGGACCCCGCGGCCCCUUUCCCGUCCGGGACGCUCCCCCCCCCUUUUCCCGCGAGGGAGGAGGGGGCCCGGGGGGCCCCGGACCAUUUACCUCGAAGAAACCGGGGUGUCCAAGGCGGGCCCGUCCGAGACGGCGCCUCGAACGUCGCAGCACGGGAUAACCAUCGCGGGCCGGGCCCCCGAUAUGACGUCGGUCCCGGGGGCAGAUCGACGAGGGCGAAGGCUUUUGGCGAGGACGCCCCCCUCGAUCAAGAACGAAAGUUAGGGGAUCGAAGACGAUCAGAUACCGUCGUAGUCUUAACCGUAAACGAUGCCGACCGGGGAUCGGGGGGCGUCGCGCGCGUCGACCCCCCCGGCGCCCCGCGGGGAACCGGAGUCUUCGGGUUCCGGGGGGAGUAUGGUCGCAAGGCCGAAACUUAAAGGAAUUGACGGAAGGGCACCACCAGGAGUGGAGCCUGCGGCUUAAUUUGACUCAACACGGGGAAACUUACCAGGUCCAGACAUAGUA